UCUACAUGUUUAGAUUUGUACAUCUCUAAUCACGUUCGCUGCAAUUCUGGCCACAUCGUAUUCGAAUCCUAUCGACUCUUGUGUUGUGAAUAACAAUGCUUACCGACAGGGAGAGAUUUUUACAUUACCUGGUUUAACGUCUUGCAUUAAAUAUCGAUGUGACCAUAAUGUAGCACUUUUAGUUGACGAAGGUUGCGAGCUGAAUGAAAUGUGCUAUGACGUAGGUAGUACUUGGGUGAAGGACUGCAGGACGUAUAGGUGUACCAAGAUUGUACAGGCUGACUCCAGCAAAUAUUCAAUCUCUCUGGAAAGUUCUCAAUGUCGAGACGCCUAUGGGAGUUGUCACAAUCCCGGAGAGACAUUUCACUACCAGGUUAAUGGGGUGACAUAUAAGCAGUGCACUUGUAGUGAUGACAACAAAGGAAAACUCCGUUAUAGUUGUUCUGGGUGAUUGCUCCACGCCAUCUUUAUAUCAUGCUAAUAUAUGCACAGACAAAAUCAAUUUACCUCAUUUUUUUAGAAUCACACAUUGUAAUGCAAUCUCACGUUUAGUUUUCUUUCCUAUUUAUUUAUUCCUAUCUUUAUUUAUUUGUAUUCAUUAACUGUAUUCAUAGCAAGGCCGGCUUUUAAUUAUUGGAGGCCUUAGGCGAAGGAAAUUAUG
rnacentral:sRNA from 1 species